AGUAAGUUGGCAGACUAGUGCAUUUGACUUAGGAUCAAAAUAUAGAUUUUUCUCUACUUACUA
rnacentral:tRNA from 1 species